GGUUUUAUAGUUUAUUAAAAAUAUUGAGUUGCAAACUCAAAGAUGCAUAUAUUUGUUGAAACUU
rnacentral:tRNA from 1 species